UACGUAGGGUGCGAGCGUUUGAUCGGAAUUACUGGGCGUAAAGCGUGCGCAGGCGGUUCGUUGUGUCGGCGGUGAAAGCCCCGGGCUCAACCUGGGAAUGGCCGUUGAAACUGGCGAACUGGAGUGUGGCAGAGGGGGGUGGAAUUCCGCGUGUAGCAGUGAAAUGCGUAGAGAUGCGGAGGAACACCGAUGGCGAAGGCAGCCCCCUGGGCUGACACUGACGCUCAGGCACGAAAGCGUGGGGAGCAAACAGG
rnacentral:rRNA from 1 species